rnacentral:tRNA from 1 species
GGGGCUGUAGUGUAGCUUGGAAUAUUGGAAUGCAUUUCUAAUAUGAGUCACUAUCACUGGAGGCUGGGGGCCUUCUAACCGGGGUUCAAAUCCUCGCAGCCCCA